CCUACGGGAGGCAGCAGUGGGGAAUAUUGCACAAUGGGGGAAACCCUGAUGCAGCGACGCCGCGUGAGUGAAGAAGUAUUUCGGUACGUAAAGCUCUAUCAGCAGGGAAGAAAAUGACGGUACCUGACUAAGAAGCCCCGGCUAACUACGUGCCAGCAUCCGCGGUAAUACGUCGGGGGCACGCGUUAUCCGGAUUUACUGGGGGUAAAGGGAGCGUAGACGGCAGUGCAAGUAGGACGUGAAAUCCCAUGGAUUAACCAUGGAACUGCUGUGGACACUGUGCGGCUGGAGUGCAGGAGAGGUAAGCGGAAUGCCUGGUGUAGCGGUGAAAUGCGUAGAUACCAGGAGGAACACCGGUGGCGAAGGCGGCUUACUGGACUGUAACUGACGUUGAGGCACGAAAGCGUGGGGAGCAAACAGGAUUAGAUACCCUAGUAGUC
rnacentral:rRNA from 1 species